rnacentral:rRNA from 1 species
CGGGUUGCAGCAGUAGGGAAUCUUCCGCAAUGGACGAAAGUCUGACGGAGCAACGCCGCGUGAGUGAUGAAGGUUUUCGGAUCGUAAAGCUCUGUUGUUAGGGAAGAACAAGUGCGAGAGUAACUGCUCGCACCUUGACGGUACCUAACCAGAAAGCCACGGCUAACUACGUGCCAGCAGCCGCGGUAAUACGUAGGUGGCAAGCGUUGUCCGGAAUUAUUGGGCGUAAAGGGCUCGCAGGCGGUUUCUUAAGUCUGAUGUGAAAGCCCCCGGCUCAACCGGGGAGGGUCAUUGGAAACUGGGAAACUUGAGUGCAGAAGAGGAGAGUGGAAUUCCACGUGUAGCGGUGAAAUGCGUAGAGAUGUGGAGGAACACCAGUGGCGAAGGCGACUCUCUGGUCUGUAACUGACGCUGAGGAGCGAAAGCGUGGGGAGCGAACAGGAUUAGAUACCCCAGU